rnacentral:rRNA from 1 species
ACGGGAGGCAGCAGUGGGGGAUAUUGCACAAUGGGGGAAACCCUGAUGCAGCGACGCCGCGUGAGUGAUGAAGUAUUUCGGUAUGUAAAGCUCUAUCAGCAGGGAAGAAAAUGACGGUACCUGACUAAGAAGCACCGGCUAAAUACGUGCCAGCAGCCGCGGUAAUACGUAUGGUGCAAGCGUUAUCCGGAUUUACUGGGUGUAAAGGGAGCGUAGACGGCAUAGCAAGCCAGAUGUGAAAUGCGGGGGCUCAACCCCUGAACUGCAUUUGGAACUGUUAAGCUAGAGUGUCGGAGAGGUAAGUGGAAUUCCUAGUGUAGCGGUGAAAUGCGUAGAUAUUAGGAGGAACACCAGUGGCGAAGGCGGCUUACUGGACGAUAACUGACGUUGAGGCUCGAAAGCGUGGGGAGCAAACAGGAUUAGAUACCCUGGUA